GUGCCAGCAGCCGCGUUAAUACAGAGGGGUGCACGGCGUUAAUCGGAAUUACUGGGCGUAAAGCGCGCGUAGGUGGUUCGUUAAGUUGGAUGUGAAAUCCCCGGGCUCAACGUGGGAACUGCAUCCAAAACUGGCGAGCUAGAGUAGGGCAGAGGGUGGUGGAAUUUCCUGUGUAGCGGUGAAAUGCGUAGAUAUAGGAAGGAACACCAGUGGCGAAGGCGACCACCUGGGCUCAUACUGACACUGAGGUGCGAAAGCGUGGGGGAGCAAACAGGAUUAGAUACCCUGGUAGUCC
rnacentral:rRNA from 1 species